UACUUAUCCAGAAAGACAGAGGGAAAGGCCCUAUGACGUCUUAGCAACCUGUACCUGCUUAUAUUAGCAAGUAAAAGGUGCUAAUUCCUGCUCCGGAAACGGAGACAGAUAAGAA
rnacentral:ncRNA from 2 species